GAUGAAGAACGUAGCGAAAUGCGAUAAGUAAUGUGAAUUGCAGAAUUCAGUGAAUCAUCGAAUCUUUGAACGCAUCUUGCGCUCCUUGGUAUUCCUUGGAGCAUGCCUGUUUGAGUAUCAUGAGCAAAUCUCAAAGUCAAUUCCUUUUGUUGAUUCAAUUGGUUUUGCUUUGGACUUGGAGGCCUUGCAGAUUUCACAGUCUGCUCCUCUUAAAUGCAUUAGCUGGAACUCAGUAAUUAUGCUUGGUUCCACUCGGCGUGAUAAGUAUCACUCGCUGAGGACACUGUUAAAAAGGUGGCCAGGAAAAUACUGAUUGAACCGCUUCUAACGGUCUAUUAAGUUAGACAAUUACCCUUAAGUUUGAUCUCAAAUCAGGUAGGACUACCCGCUGAACUUAAGCAUAUCAAUAAGCGGAGGA
rnacentral:misc_RNA from 1 species